CGUCACCAACCCUCUCUCUCCCCCACUGUGCAGUUAACUGCGUGUGAAGCAAAACACGCUGGUCCCGAGCCAGCUGUCGGUGACCGCGCUGGCAACCUGGGGGGAAGGCCAGACAGGAGCAGCGAGCAGCUGAGGGGCGGCAUGCGGGCAUCCCGCUUCUGUGACCACCCGGACAGACUAUGCCCUGGCACCCAGCUUCUAGCAUUUAGAGGCCUGGGAAGUCCUAAUGUGGAGUUGCAGCCUUGGUCUCUCGUUUCGCACCCACCGAUGGACCUGUCCUAUGUCAGCGCAUCUACUCCAUGCAGCUGCCAUGUGCUGGCUUCAAAGAGCAACACCCCUGUCCUUGGAGUUGUGCAGAGGGGUCAAGCACGGGGAACCACAGGGCUUGCGGCUGGAGCGUCACAUCGUGCUCCCGGCUUUUCCAGCUCCAGCUGUGACCUCCCCAAAGCCAGCGGCACAGAUCUUCAGAGACACGGGGACGAGUGGCAGAAGCCCCUUUAAUAUCCCUGAAUGGCAUUACAAGUAAUACUGCAGGUGGCCGGCUCUCAGUAGACUUGUCUGGCUGCGAUGUGUCCAAUACAAAACCUGGCAGAAAAAUCAAUCAUGCACAGAAAAUUAUUGCUGUAGGAGUUCCUAUUUACAAUAUAAACAUGGAGCAGGGCCCCAGGGCGCCCUUGCUGUCCCCAGGGCAAGCAGCAGGGAGAGCUGGCUAUGGGGCAGGGGGCGUCCAACUUCUGCCCCCAGAGGACGAUGAGUUUUGCUUAGGACAAGGGGGAUAGCACAGGGACAGGGCAGAGA